rnacentral:rRNA from 1 species
GAUGAACGCCGGCGGCGUGCCUAAUACAUGCAAGUCGAGCGAACAGAUGAGGAGCUUGCUCCUCUGACGUUAGCGGCGGACGGGUGAGUAACACGUGGAUAACCUACCUAUAAGACUGGGAUAACUUCGGGAAACCGGAGCUAAUACCGGAUAAUAUAUUGAACCGCAUGGUUCAAUAGUGAAAGACGGUUUUGCUGUCACUUAUAGAUGGAUCCGCGCCGCAUUAGCUAGUUGGUAAGGUAACGGCUUACCAAGGCAACGAUGCGUAGCCGACCUGAGAGGGUGAUCGGCCACAUGGGAACUGAGACACGGUCCAGACUCCUACGGGAGGCAGCAGUAGGGAAUCUUCCGCAAUGGGCGAAAGCCUGACGGAGCAACGCCGCGUGAGUGAUGAAGGUCUUCGGAUCGUAAAACUCUGUUAUUAGGGAAGAACAAAUGUGUAAGUAACUAUGCACGUCUUGACGGUACCUAAUCAGAAAGCCACGGCUAACUACGUG